GAAAUGCGAUACUUGGUGUGAAUUGCAGAAUCCCGUGAACCAUCGAGUCUUUGAACGCAAGUUGCGCUCCUCGGAAUACCAAGGAGCGCAAGAUGCGUUCAAAGAUUCGAUGAUUCACUGAAUUCUGCAAUUCACAUUACUUAUCGCAUUUCGCUGCGUUCUUCAUCGAUGCGUGCGUAACAGAA
rnacentral:misc_RNA from 1 species